rnacentral:rRNA from 1 species
AUACGGAGGGUGCAAGCGUUAUCCGGAUUUAUUGGGUUUAAAGGGUGCGCAGGCGGCCUUAUAAGUCAGUGGUGAAAUCUCCCGGCUCAACCGGGAAACUGCCAUUGAUACUGUAAGGCUAGAAUACAGACGAGGUAGGCGGAAUGUAGCAUGUAGCGGUGAAAUGCUUAGAUAUGCUACAGAACACCGAUCGCGAAGGCAGCUUACCAGACUGUAAUUGACGCUAAGGCACGAAAGCGUGGGGAGCGAACAGGAUUAGAAACCCCAGUAGUCC